rnacentral:tRNA from 1 species
GGUAGAAUGGCUGAGUAUUAGGCGGUAAAUUGUAAAUUUAUUAAGAAGAUAAAAUAUCUUUUCUAUCA